rnacentral:rRNA from 1 species
CCUCAAAUCAGGUGGGACUACCCGCUGAACUUAAGCAUAUCAAUAAGCGGAGGAAAAGAAACUAACAAGGAUUCCCCUAGUAACUGCGAGUGAAGAGGGAUAAGCUCAAAUUUAAAAUCUGGCGGUCUUUGGCCGUCCGAGUUGUAAUUUAGAGAAGUGUUACCCGCGCUGGACCGUGUACAAGUCUCCUCGAACGGAGCAUCAUAGAGGGUGAGAAUCCCGUACAUGACACGGACUGCCAGGGCUUUGUGGUGCGCUCUCGACGAGUCGAGUUGUUUGGGAAUGCAGCUCAAAAUGGGUGGUAAAUUCCAUCUAAAGCUAAAUACAGGCGAGAGACCGAUAGCGAACAAGUACCGUGAGGGAAAGAUGAAAAGAACUUUGGAAAGAGAGUUAAACAGUACGUGAAAUUGUUGAAAGGGAAACGCUUGAAGUCAGUCGCGUCCUUCAAAGAUCAACCUGGCCUUUUCGCUUGGUGCACUCUUUGGAGGACGGGUCAGCAUCAGUUUCGACCGGGAGAAAAAGUUGGUGGGGAGGUGGCACCUUCGGGUGUGUUAUAACCUGCUUGCAUAUAUCCUGGUUGGGACUGAGGAACGCGGCACGCCGAAAGGCCGGACUUUUGUACACGUACGUGCUUAGGAUGCUGGCAUAAU